rnacentral:rRNA from 1 species
UACGAAGGGGCUAGCGUUGUUCGGAAUUACUGGGCGUAAAGCGUGCGCAGGCGGUUUGUAAGCCAGAUCGUGAAUCCCGGGCUUAACCUGGGAAUGGCAUUUGGGACUGCAAGGCUUGAGUGCGGCAGAGGAGACGUGGAAUUCCUGGUGUAGCAGUGAAAUGCGUAGAUAUCAGGAGGAACACCUGUGGUGUAGACGGCUUCUGGACCAAGCUGACGCUGAGACACGAAAGCGUGGGUAGCAAACAGG